rnacentral:rRNA from 1 species
GACGAACGCUGGCGGCGUGCUUAACACAUGCAAGUCGAACGGAAAGGCCCUGCUUUUGUGGGGUGCUCGAGUGCCGAACGGGUGAGUAACACGUGAGUAACCUGCCCUUGUCUUUCGGAUAACUUCAGGAAACUGGGGCUAAUACCCGAUAGGAGCUCCUGCUGCGUGGUGUGCAUUGGAAAGUUUCGGCUGUUGGGGCUAGACUCGCGGCUUAUCAGCUUGUUGGUGGGGUAGUUGCUUACCAAGUCUUUGACGGGUAGCCGGCCUGGGAGGGUGACCGGCGACAUGGGUCCUGCGAUACGGCCCAGUCUCCUAUCUGCCGCAGCGGGGGGGAAUAUUGCACAGUGGGCCGAAGUCUGAGGCAGCAACGCCGCGUGCGUGAUGCCGGCCUUCGGGGUGUAAACCGCUUUCGCCUGUGCCGUAGCGUGAGUGACGGUAACGAGUAAAGAAGCACCGGCUAACUACGUG